UUGGAGAAUUUGAAGACUUCAACUUGCAGACUUGAUGAAUUUGAAGACUUCAACUUGCAAACUUGAAGUUUUUGAAGACUUCAACU
rnacentral:pre_miRNA from 1 species